AGGCGCGUAGCUCAGCUGGUUAGAGCACCACCUUGACAUGGUGGGGGUCGGUGGUUCGAGUCCACUCGUGCCUA
rnacentral:tRNA from 1 species